UACGAAGGGGGCUAGCGUUGCUCGGAAUGACUGGGCAUAAAGGGCGCGUAGGCGGUUCGUACAGUCAGACGUGAAAUUCCUGGGCUCAACCUGGGGGCUGCGUUUGAUACGUGCGGACUUGAGUGCGGAAGAGGGUCGUGGAAUUCCCAGUGUAGAGGUGAAAUUCGUAGAUAUUGGGAAGAACACCGGUGGCGAAGGCGGCGACCUGGUCCGAUACUGACGCUGAGGCGCGAAAGCGUGGGGAGCAAACAGG
rnacentral:rRNA from 1 species